CUCAGAACGAACGCUGGCGGCGUGCUUACACAUGCAAGUCGAACGGGAAACGUUCCUUCGGGAACCGAGUACAGUGGCGCACGGGUGAGUAACACGUAGGUGACCUACCUAUCGCUGGGGAACAACCCGGGAAACCGGAGCUAAUUCCGCAUACGCUUUCCAACUCGCGGGUUGGAAAGGAAAGAUGGCCUCUUCAUGAAAGCUAUCGGCGAAUGAUGGGCCUGCGCGUCAUUAGCUUGUUGGUGAGGUAACGGCUCACCAAGGCUGCGAUGACUAGCUGGUCUGAGAGGAUGAUCAGCCACACUGGCACUGGAACACGGCCCAGACUCCUACGGGUGGCAGCAGUCGAGAAGCUUCGGCAAUGGGCGAAAGCCUGACCGAGCGACGCCGCGUGAGCGAUGAAGGCCUUCGGGUCGUAAAGCUCUGUCGAGAGGGACGAAACACCGGUGGGACUAAUACUUGUGGUGUCUGAAGGUACCUCCAAAGGAAGCACCGGCUAACUCCGUGCCAGCAGCCGCGGUAAUACGGAGGGUGCAAACGUUGUUCGGAUUUACUGGGUGUAAAGGGUGCGUAGGCGGCCUGAUAAGUCAGGGGUGAAAUAUGACGGCUCAACCGUCAAACUGCCCCUGAAACUGCAAGGCUUGAGUCCGGGAGAGGAAGGUGGAAUUCCUGGUGUAGCGGUGAAAUGCGUAAAUAUCAGGAGGAACACCGAUGGCGAAGGCAGCCUUCUGGCCCGGUACUGACGCUCAUGCACGAAAGCUAGGGGAGCGAACAGGAUUAGAUACCCUGGUAGUCCUAGCCGUAAACGAUGGGCACUAGGUGUUGGAGGAGUCUACCCCUUCAGUGCCGCAGCUAACGCAUUAAGUGCCCCACCUGGGGAGUACGAUCGCAAGGUUGAAACUCAAAGGAAUUGACGGGGGCCCGCACAAGCGGUGGAGCAUGUGGUUUAAUUCGAUGCAACGCGAAGAACCUUACCUGGGCUUGACAUGCAGGGGACAGGUGCAGAAAUGUACCCUUCUUCGGACCCCUGUGCAGGUGCUGCAUGGCUGUCGUCAGCUCGUGUCGUGAAAUGUUGGGUUAAGUCCCGCAACGAGCGCAACCCUUGUCUUUAGUUGCCAUCAGUUCGGCUGGGGACUCUGGAGAGACUGCCGGUGACAAACCGGAGGAAGGUGGGGACGACGUCAAGUCAUCAUGGCCCUUACGCUCAGGGCUACACACGUGCUACAAUGGUCGGUACAAUGGGCAGCGAGACCGCGAGGUGGAGCGAAUCCCAAAAAGCCGGCCUCAGUUCGGAUCGUAGUCUGCAACUCGACUACGUGAAGUUGGAAUCGCUAGUAAUCGCGUAUCAGAACGACGCGGGAAUACGUUCCCGGGCCUUGUACACACCGCCCGUCAAGUCAACCGAAUUGGUUGCACCCCAAGUCGCUGAGCUAACCCGUAAGGGAGG
rnacentral:rRNA from 1 species